AGUGAAUAGAUACCCGGGUAGUCCUAGCCGUAAACGAUACUCGCUAGGUGUCGGCCACGGUGCGACCGUUGUCGGUGCCGUAGGGAAAGCCGUGAAGCGAGCCACCUGGGAAGUACGGCCGCAAGGCUGAAACUUAAAGGAAUUGGCGGGGGAGCACCACAACGGGUGGAGCUUGCGGUUUAAUUGGAUUCAACGCCGGAAAUCUUACCGGGACCGACAGCAACAUGAAGGCCAGGCUGAAGACUUUGCCGGAUUAGCUGAGAGGUGGUGCAUGGCCGUCGUCAGUUCGUACUGUGAAAGCAUCCUGUUAAGUCAGGCAACGAGCGAGACCCACGCCCACAGUUGCCAGCGUACUCUCCGGAGUGACGGGUACACUGUGGGGACCGCCGCUGCUAAAGCGGAGGAAGGAAUGGGCAACGGUAGGUCAGUAUGCCCCGAAUAUCCCGGGCUACACGCGAGCUACAAUGGUUGGUACAAUGGGUAUCUACCCCGAAAGGGGAUGAAAUCUCCUAAAGCCAAUCUUAGUUCGGAUUGAGGGCUGCAACUCGCCCUC
rnacentral:rRNA from 1 species